rnacentral:rRNA from 1 species
GUAGGGAAUCUUCCACAAUGGGCGAAAGCCUGAUGGAGCAACGCCGCGUGAACGAUGAAGGCCUUCGGGUUGUAAAGUUCUGUUGUCAGGGACGAAACCGGCUCGUUCGAACAGGGCGGGUCGUUGACGGUACCUGACGAGAAAGCCACGGCUAACUACGUGCCAGCAGCCGCGGUAAUACGUAGGUGGCAAGCGUUGUCCGGAAUUAUUGGGCGUAAAGCGCGCGCAGGCGGUUGCGUAAGUCUGAUGUGAAAGCCCGGGGCUCAACCCCGGUGUGCAUUGGAAACUGCGCAGCUUGAGUGCAGGAGAGGAAAGCGGAAUUCCACGUGGAGCGGUGAAAUGCGUAGAGAUGUGGAGGAACACCAGUGGCGAAGGCGGCUUUCUGGCCUGUAACUGACGCUGAGGCGCGAAAGCGUGGGGAGCAAACAGGAUUAGAAACCCUUGUAGUCC